CCGCCUUUUUCAUUUUUUUAUGCAGCUUGUAAUUCAUGGUGGUUCUAUGCUGUAACAUUUGGUGGAAUUCUAAAAACGAAAAGACUUACAAUGGGCAUUUGGUCACUUGUGAUGUUUGGAUGAACAUCCAUCUCCGUUUAGCUUUUAUUCUCUUUAACCCUAAUAUCCUUUAUCUGUUUUAGAUUCCAAAAUUUGGCAUCCCUUUCCAUGCGUUCAUUUUAUGUUCUUGACCCUGGCUUUUCUUGCAGGUUGCUUGAUUUUUCUAUUUGGCUCUAAAAAACAUGGUAACCAUCUCAACUGUCUUUGAUUUGAAAACUUUCUUUCUCCUGUUUUCUUUGACAAUCUUAAUUUUUUUUUUCUUGUGUAAACUGCUGGAUCCUCUUUCUUUACUCAAGACUGCUCAAGGCCACCCAAUGGUAAGAAAGAGAUGUCUGCAAAUUUGUAGACUUUGUUUUACGAACUUUUUCUUUUUUUUAUGUAGCUUGUAAUUCAUGGUGGUUCUAUGUUGUAACUGUUGGUGGAGUUGAAAAAAGAAGAGACUUACGAUGGACAUUUGGUCAAUUGUGAUGCUUGGACGAACAUCCAUCUCCGUUUAGCUUUAAUUUUAUUUAACCUUAAUAUCCUUGAUGUGUUUUAGAUUCCAAAAUUUCCCAUCCCUUUCCAUGCUUUCAUUUAUGUUCUUGACCCUGGCAUUUCUUGCUGGUUGCUUGAUUUUUCUUUUUUGCUCUAAAAAACAUGGUAACCAUCUCAACUGUAUUGGGUUUGAAAACUUUCUAUCUUUCUCCUGUUUUCUUUGCCACAACUUUUUUUUCUUGUGUUAACUGUAGCUUCCUCUUUCUUUACUCAAGAUUGCUCAAGGCCACCCAAUGCUUGUAAUUCAUGGUGGUUCUAUGCUGUAACUGUUGGUGGAAUUGAAAAAAGGAGAGACUUACAAUGGGCAUUUGGUCAAUUGUGAUGCUUGGAUGAACAACCAUCUCCGUUUAGGUUGCUUGAUAUUUCUUUUUUACUCUAAAAAACUAGACUGCUCAAGGCCACCCAAUGCUUGUAAUUCAUGGUGGUUCUAUGCUGUAACUGUUGGUGGAAUUGAAAAAAGGAGAGACUUACAAUGGGCAUUUGGUCAAUUGUGAUGCUUGGAUGAACAUCCAUCUCCGUUUAGUUUUAAUUUUCUUUAACCCUAAUAUCCUUGAUCUGUUUUAGAUUCCAAAAUUUCCCAUCUCUUUCCAUUCUUUCAUUUUAUGUUCUUGACCCUGGCUUUUCUUGCAGGUUGCUUGAUUUUUCUUUUUGGCUCUAAAAAACAUUACUGCUCAAGGCCACCCAAUGCUUGUAAUUCAUGGCUAUUCUUCCAGCCGAUAUCUUUACUGAAAUCCUAGACGAUGAUGUUUUGGUCUUGCCCCCACAUGUACUCGAUACUUACUGAGAUAGGUAUAAGUGGAGUGUGAAAGAGUUGCAUAAAAUGCUUCAUUGUUGCAAUGAGCAACUUCAGCAGGUCAUCCAUAUGAACAAGAAGGCACUAGAUCAACCUGAGGCAAGUGACGAGGCACUCCAGAAAAGGCAAGCUGAACUUGAGGCGAGUGACGAGGAUGAUGCUAUGAUUUAGCGUGUGCUAUGCUAAAAUGUUCUUUGUCUGCUUGGCUUCUUGGAUUAGUUCAGAUGUUUAUCACGAAGAUGAUAAUUGUGACGAUGAUGGACGUCAUGAAGCAAAUCUAGAGGGAAAUAUGUUAAUGUGAAAAUGAAGGAAUAUCAUGUAUCGGGUAUCCCAUUGGUAAUAUUGUUUUUGUUUGCUUGCCAUGUUCCAAGUUUGAGGGUUCACUUGGUUUGGGGUAAUGGCAGUUGGUUUUGUUCCAAGAAGAGGGUUUGCUGAUUAUAUAAGUGUUCUUUUCUCGACAAGGAAACAUUAUCAUUAAUAUCUUAUGUUUUGAAGGUUAAUUCAUGGUGGUUGUAAGCUGUAACAGUUGGUGGAAUUGAAAAAGGAGAGACUUACAAUGGGCAUUUGGUCAAUUGUGAUGCUUGGGUGAACAUCCAUCUCCGUUUAGCUUUAGUUUUCUUUAACCCUAAUAUCCUUGAUCUGUUCUUGUGUUAACUGCAGCUUCCUCGUUCUUUACUCAAGACUGCUCAAGGCCACCCAAUGGUAAGAAAGAGAUGUCUGUUUUUCUUGUCGUGUCAUUUGACCAUAUGAAUCCAGAAUUUUCUGCAAAUUUGUAGACUUUGUUUUACAGCCUUUUUCAUUUUUUUUAUGAAGCUUGUAAUUCAUGGUGGUUGUAUGCUGUAAGAGUUGGUGGAAUUGAAAAAAUGAGAGACUUGCAAUGGACAUUUGGUCAAUUGUGAUGCUUGGAUGAACAUCCAUCUCCGUUUAGCUUUAAUUUUCUUUAACCCUAAUAUCCUUGAUAUGUUCUUGUGUUAACUACUGGUUCCUUUUUUUUUAGUCAAGACUGCUCAAGGCCAUGCAAUGGUAAGAAAGAGAUGUCUGUUUUUCUUGUCGUGUCAUUUGACCAUAUGAAUCCAGAAUUUUCUGCAAAUUUGUAGACUUUGUUUUACAAACUUUACCAUUUUUUUUUAUGCAACUUGUAAUUCAUGGUGGUUCUAUGAUGUAACAGUUGGUGGAAUUGAAAAACGGAGAGACUUACCAUGGGCAUUUGGUCAAUUGUGAUGCUUGGAUGAACAUCAAUCUCCGUUUAGCUUUAAUUUUCUUUAACCCUAAUAUCCUUGAUCUGUUUUAGAUUCCAAAAUUUCACAUCCCUUUCCAUGCGAUCAUUUUAUGUUCUUGAACCUGGCUUUUCUUGCAGGUUGCUUGAUUUUUCUUUUUGGCUCUGAAAAACAUGGUAUCUAUCUCAACUGUCUUUGAUUUGAAAACUUUCUUUCUCCUGUUUUGUUUGACACACAAUUUUUUUUUUCGUGUUAAUUGCAACUUCCUCUUUCUUUACUCAAGACUGCUCGAGGCCACCCAAUGUUGGUGGAAUUGAAAAAACGAGAGACUUGCAAUGGGCAUUUGGUCAAUUGUGAUGCUUGGAUGAACAUCCAUCUCUGUUUAGCUUUAAUUUUCUUUAACCCUAAUAUCCUUGAUCUGUUCUUGUGUUAACUGCUGGUUCCUCUUUUUUUAGUCAAGACUGCUCAAGGCCACCCAAUGCUUGUAAUUCAUGGUGGUUCUAUGCUGUAACUGUUGGUGGAAUUGAAAAAAGGAGAGACUUGCAAUGGGCAUUUGGUCAAUUGUGAUGCUUGGAUGAACAUCCAUCUCUGUUUAGCUUUAAUUUUCUUUAACCCUAAUAUCCUUGAUCUGUUCUUGUGUUAACUGCUGGUUCCUCUUUUUUUAGUCAAGACUGCUCAAGGCCACCCAAUGCUUGUAAUUCAUGGUGGUUCUAUGCUGUAACAUUUGGUGGAAUUCUAAAAACGAAAAGACUUACAAUGGGCAUUUGGUCACUUGUGAUGUUUGGAUGAACAUCCAUCUCCGUUUAGCUUUUAUUCUCUUUAACCCUAAUAUCCUUGAUCUGUUUUUCUUGUCGUGUCAUUUGACCAUAUGAAUCCAGAAUUUUCUGCAAAUUUGUAGACUUUGUUUUACGAACUUUUUGUUUUUUUUAUGCAGCUUGUAAUUCAUGGUGGUUCUAUGUUGUAAUUGUUGGUGGAAUUGAAAAAAGAAGAGACUUACGAUGGACAUUUGGUCAAUUGUGAUGCUUGGACGAACAUCCAUCUCCGUUUAGCUUUAAUUUUAUUUAACCUUAAUAUCCUUGAUCUGUUUUAGAUUCCAAAAUUUCCCAUCCCUUUCCAUGCUUUCAUUUAUGUUCUUGACCCUGGCAUUUCUUGCUGGUUGCUUGAUUUUUCUUUUUUGCUCUAAAAAACAUGGUAACCAUCUCAACUGUAUUGGGUUUGAAAACUUUCUAUCUUUCUCCUGUUUUCUUUGCCACAACUUUUUUUUCUUGUGUUAACUGUAGCUUCCUCUUUCUUUACUCAAGAUUGCUCAAGGCCACCCAAUGCUUGUAAUUCAUGGUGGUUCUAUGCUGUAACUGUUGGUGGAAUUGAAAAAAGGAGAGACUUACAAUGGGCAUUUGGUCAAUUGUGAUGCUUGGAUGAACAUCCAUCUCCGUUUAGUUUUAAUUUUCUUUAACCCUAAUAUCCUUGAUCUGUUUUAGAUUCCAAAAUUUCCCAUCUCUUUCCAUUCUUUCAUUUUAUGUUCUUGACCCUGGCUUUUCUUGCAGGUUGCUUGAUUUUUCUUUUUGGCUCUAAAAAACAUUGUAAGCAUCUCAACUGUCUUUGAUUUGAAAACUUUCUAUCUUUCUCCUGUUUUUUUGACAAUCUUAUUUUUUUUUCUUGUGUUAACUGCUGGUUCCUCUUUCUUUACUUAAGACUGCUCAAGGCCACCCAAUGGUAAGAAAGGGAUGUCUGUUUUUCUUGUCGUGUCAUUUGACCAUAUGAAUACAGAAUUUUCUGCAAAUUUGUAGACUUUGUUUUACAAACUUUUCCAUUUUUUUUAUGCAGCUUGUAAUUCAUGGCUAUUCUUCCAGGUGUUUUUGAUAUGAUGGAUAGACUUAUUGGUUGAAGUCACAACACAAGAACUCUGAACUGUGAAUUUGCUUUAUUGUUUCUUCAUGUGAUAAAUGACUAGUCUGAGCUUCAGUUUUUUUUUUCUUGGCUUUUAAUGUAUUGUUAAACUGUUGUGUCUUGUAAUUAAUGUUUGAAAUCUAUUUAUCUGAUUUGCCAGCCGAUAUCUUUACUGAAAUCCUAGACGAUGAUGUUUUGGUCUUGCCCCCACAUGUACUCGAUACUUACUGAGAUAGGUAUAAGUGGAGUGUGAAAGAGUUGCAUAAAAUGCUUCAUUGUUGCAAUGAGCAACUUCAGCAGGUCAUCCAUAUGAACAAGAAGGCACUAGAUCAACAUGAGGCAAGUGACGAGGCACUCCAGAAAAGGCAAGCUGAACUUGAGGCGAGUGACGAGGAUGAUGCUAUGAUUUAGCGUGUGCUAUGCUAAAAUGUUCUUUGUCUGCUUGGCUUCUUGGAUUAGUUCAGAUCAGCGAAACAAUGAAUCGAUAGAUCGUACUUUCAAAGGAGUUGCUGAGCACUUCAGCGAAGUAUUGUUUGAACUUGUGCAAGGUGGUCAUGGUCAUUUGGUUAUGAUGAAGAAAAAGGUUACUUAAAAGAGCAUUUAAUGUCUUAGUUUCAUUUGUUCUUUUCUUUACUCCUAUCGUUCAUUUUUCCCUUAAUAGUAAGCAAUGCCUUGACGUUCUUCCUAUGUCUUUUUAUUGUUUUCCAAGUUUAAUCAGUAUAUUUUUUGGUCUUUUAUGUUGAAAUUUUGAGAUAACCAUAUGAGUGCAUUUUAAAGUUUCAUGUCAUGCAUUUGUGGUCAAUCUAGAUAGCCGUUGAAACAGUUCUAUAAAUUUUGUGGUAUCUUGACAAGAUGUUUAUCACGAAGAUGAUAAUUGUGACGAUGAUGGACGUCAUGAAGCAAAUCUAGAGGGAAAUGUGUUUAUUUUUUUGCAGAAACGAGGAGAUAGAAAUAAAAAAGGAUAUUAUAUAACAUGAUGCCUUAAUUGCUCUCUUACCAACUCAAUCACAACUUAUUGAUCAAUUUUUUGGAUAUCAUCAACCAUUUGUAACCAGAAAGGAAAUGGACAUCAUUUAACAAGAAAAAAAAUAUAUAAGAAAUUUUAUUGUAAUGCAAAAUUUUCUUUGUUUAACUUCUAGGUUGCUAAAGUGUGCUAGUUGCUUUUGACUAUAGUUGGUUGAUGGUUGUGAGAGAGGUUCAUUAACAGGCUCAUGCUUUUUUGGAUUUUGGUUAUCCACUAUGGCUAAUAAUCUUUUAUUUUAUCUGCAGUUUAAGAGCAUUUCUGGAUUUUUUUUUUGUUGCUCAACGUUGUGGUUUUGUUUAAUCUAUUGUUUUUUUUUUCUGGUGGUGUUCUACUUUCAGGAAUAUCAUGUAUCGGGUAUCCCAUUGGUAAUAUUGUUUUUGUUUGCUUGCCAUGUUCAAAGUUGAGGGUUCCCUUGGAUUGGGGUAAUGGCAGUUGGGUUUGUUCGAAGAAGAGGGUUUGCUAAUUAUAUAAGUGUUAUUUUCUCGACAAGGAAACAUUAUCAUUAAUAUCUUAUGUUUUGUAGGUUAACUUGUUGAAUUGCUGCAUUCAUUAGCGAAAAGAGGGAGGGGCUUGGCUAUUAUGCUCUUGAAAAACGUAUUUUACGGGAUUGGUAAAAGAGUGUUUGGUCUAUACGGAUUUUCUUAUGUAAUAUAUUGAUAUCAAAAUUAUGUUAUGGGCUUACAGUUUGUUUCUUUAGUAGCCAUUUGUUUUGUAUUGAGUGAUCUCUUCCACAACCUAUGCAAUGAUGAUGGGCAUCAACUAAUCGAUGAAGGUGCAGGGGAUCAAGUUUUAUCUGCUUUCGUUGAGAUUGUGUUGAUAAUUCCGACAAUCACAUCUUGUAUAAUGGAGCGUGAAAAGCAACUGAGCAUCCUUUAUCAAAAAACAAGGUUGGGCAACCCAUUUUCCAGCAAAGCUAUUCGUGACAAAAGGUAUAAGUAGAGUGUGAAAGAGUUGCGUAAAAUGCUUCAUAGGUGCAAUGAGCAACUUCAGCCAUGUAAACAAGAAGACAUUAGACCAUCAUGUAAAUAUCACUGAGAAACAGGAGAAACUCCAGAAAAGUCAAGUUGAACUAUGGUGCUGGAUUUUAUUGCUUAAAUGUCUUAUGUUGUACUUAUUGUUUUUAACGUGAGAUUAAGAUUUAUGUAUCAUUACUUCAAUGAGAUUAUGUUUUAUUACUUCAAUGCUUGUGUGCAGAAAAUCAUAGAACUGAUAUUUGUUUUAGAUCAGUGAAACAAUGAAUAUUGCACUGUCAAAGGAGUUGUUGAGCACUUUAGCGAAGUAUUCUUUGAACUUGUGCAAGGUGGUCGUGCUCAUUUUGUUAUGAUGAAGAAAAAGAUGUUGAUCACGAAUAUGAUAAUUGUGACGAUGAUGGAUGUCAAGCAAAUUUGGAGGGAAAUAUGUUACUGUGAAAAUGAAGGUAUGAAUAUGUUGUCGCUAUGUUAUAUGUGUUUAUUUUUUUGCAGAAACAAGGAGAUAGAAAUAAAAAAAGGAUAUUAUGUAACAUGAUGCCUUAAUUGCACUCUUUCCAACUUAAUCACAACUUAUUGAUGAAUGGUUUUGGAUAUCAUCAACCAUUUGUAACCAAAAAGGAAAUGGACAUCAUUUAACAAGGAAAAAAAAUAGAUAAGAAAUUUUAUUGUAAUGCAAAAUUUUCUUUGUUUAACUUCUAGGUUGUUAAAUUGUGCUAGUUGUUUGUGACUAUAGUUGGUUCAUGGUUAUGAGAGAGGUUUAGUAAUAGGCUCAUGGUUUUUUGGUAAAUAAAAUAUGGUUUUAGUGAGUUUCUCCAAUUAUAUUUUAGUUUAAAACUUUAUUUUGCAAUGACUUUCUUAUGUUUUAUUAAAUAGACCAAUCUAAGUAUACUCAUAUUUCUUUUUUCUCAAAACAAACCCAUCAUUGUAUUUAAUAACACUUGCUAUUUAUUUAAUGUUUACUAUCAUAACCAUGAGAAGAGAUUGCAGUGACUUGUAAAUGACAUCAUGAAAAUAGUUAUGAAUAUUAUUUUUUGUUAUGCUUGAAUUGAAUUUGGUUUGGAGGCCAUUUAUCAUUGUUCCUAUGGAUCUUUAGGUGGCAAGUUUCGUUUUGGAACUCAUUGUUGCUUAUUGCAUUGAUAAAUUUUUUUGUAAUUGAUUGUAAGGAACUAAAUUUGUUGUCUAAACCCGUUAUACUUUGGGUGCAAAGGCCACUAAAAGAGCACAACUAGAAAUGUUUGUCAUACAUAUUGAACUGCUACUCUGCAACUUAAUGUUGAGAGUUGUACGCAUGUGGUCUCUAUAAAUUUGUCUAGAAUGACAUAUAUUCAUUACAUAGGAUAGCUGGCCCAAAGAGCACUUCUAAAAUGGUGAUUGCUCAUCUUUAGAGGUAUCAGUUCGGUGAUUUGGUUUUAAAUUGUUCAUGUUUGUAAAAUUCCUGUAAUUUGUUAGAUUUUAUAGUUGGUUUUGUUUUUUUCGUUGCAAUUUGUGGAAUGAUUUCCUCGAAGCACAACAUGUUUUGACAAUAAAUUUCUAAUCCUUCUUCUUUUCAACUCGAUUUAAUAGGAGUUCACAUCUUUACGUGUAAAAGUCACUGCACUAGAGCAUCAUGAUCUUCAUAAAUCUUGUCAAGAGGCCUCUAAUAAUCAUGAUCUCUGCUGCCAGUUAGAAAAGGUUAACUUGUUGAAUUGCUGCAUUCAUUAGGGAAAAGAGGGAGGGGCUUGGCUAUUAUAUGCUUGAAAAGCGUAUUUUGCAGGACUGGUAAGAGAGUGUGUUUGGUCUGUAAGGAUUUCCUUAUCCAAAACUUGGAUUGCGCAACCCCAUACACCUAACCCAUUUCAGUUCGAAAGUUAAUUGUGUUUGUAAGUUAGUUUUUCAUUAUGAUUUAUUAUUUUUUUAUAUAUGUAAUCUUAUUUAUUUGUUGUGUGUCUACUAUAUAAUAUAUUGAGUGAUGAGUAUUUUAAAUUUAUGGACUGAAGGAUUAUUCCCUUUUUAUGUGUUAA